GGAAAGAUGCAGGAGUGGCUGAACUGGCUCGCCUGGAAAGCGGGUGAACGGGAAACCGUUCCGUGGGUUCGAAUCCCACUCUUUCCGCCA
rnacentral:tRNA from 1 species